AAAAAACUUCUAGAGAAAUCUCUGGAGGAGUUCCUGAAGCAAUUGUAGCCUUUGCUCCAUCUCCAUAAAUAUGCCAGAUAUAAUUCCAUUAACAGAUUCAAUAUCCAUAUAAAAAUGACCUUUAAUCACUGCAUCAAUGCCCACUAUAGAUCAAUUACGUUGCGCCGAACGGUUAGGCAACAUGCUCACUAUAAAAAGCUUUUCCAAGAACUUUAAUCGGCCUUCAAUCGGCCGCGAUUGAAAUAUCCGAAGGUCAAGUACGUUUGGAAUUUCCGGAGAAAGUCUGGAAAGAAAAGGCGCGACCGAACCCAAAACUGAGCGAGCCUUCAACAUAGGCCGUUACACUACCGAACUAUUUCGAAGAAGUUCGUGGGAAAUGUCGAACUUCUGUUGAGUUCGAUCGAUGGAACCUUCCCUAAUCUGAGGAUCACGGUUUCAUGUUACUUUCGCUCGAUCCGCAGAUUAGUGUAGAAGUGUCGUGGUUCGUUCGUUGAAGAAAUCGUGAAUUGUAAGUUACCGUAACGGAGUGAUAUUUCUAUAGUUUAAUUUGUUCUUUGUUCCUUUUGUUAGUCUAUUGUUCAAGCUAGGAAAGUAGUGCGUUAAGGGUUUGUGCGUUUUCCUACAAUAGGACUUACAGCCCGCCGGCUACAUUCUUCCACAGCGACGCUUCUCUGCCGAUCGACUCGGAACUUCCGGCGAACGAAUACCGCCGAAGAAGCGGCACGUCUACACGCCGCUUAGCGAGCAUCUGUGGUCGUCAAUUGCCACUUGCCAGGCCCGUCUUGAAGGUCGUUCAAGGUUGCGCAACAAAAACCCCCACGUGACCCCCCCCCCCCCUACACGUGGUCCAGGGGUCGCUUGACCGUCCCCAUCGACGCGACACACCAGGAGCGCAGAAUCAGCAACAGAUAAACGACAACUCCGUAGCUGCUCGGUGAGUCUGUUCUUUUUUGCACCGUAUUUUUUGUGGAGUGGGGCGUCCGGUGAGGACGCCUCGGAGAAGUUUUUUGCCGACCAUAAGGUCGAGAAUAAUUUGGACGUCUAGUCUGACACAGCGUCCGCAAAUGGAAGGUUGGGUGAUUGCUUGAAGCCGGAAAGCACGCGCACGUAUUUUAUGACCGGCCCCUCCAACCUAUUGUUUGAGUCACCCGGCUUGAUGCAGCCGUGGCUAGCUUGUCGUACCGCAUCAAUGGAACGCGUACACGAAUAGAGCACAUGCAUGCAUAACACGAUAUCGAUAGACAGCUAGGAAAAAUAGAAAACGCACUAGUAGAGUAGGACUGAACAGGAACACAUGUAUAUACAACAAUAAUACACCUAGGUUAGCUAAUCAUGAUGUUAGAAUAAAUAAUGUUGAUUAUGUUCUGAAUAAAUGGGUUUUGUUGAUUGUUAGUCAAAUUGUAUGUAAUUAAUGCUUCAGUUCUACGAAAGUCAAUUUAAGUUAUGGUGAUAUUGUUCCGUUGCUCCGCGCUUUAGUGUAAUGUUGUUUGCGUGGCGCAAUUUGACUGUAGUCUUGCGUAUACUCUUCUACGCUGGUAGCGCCUCUAGCGGGAAGUAGUGAAACUGCCAGUGAUGAGAAAUAGCA